rnacentral:tRNA from 1 species
GCCCCAGUGGCGCAACCGGUUAGCGCGUCGUACUUAUAAGCAGUACUGAAUCUGCUAACGAAAUGCGAAGGUUGUGAGGUUGUGAGUUCGAUCCUCACCUGGGGCA